rnacentral:rRNA from 1 species
AUUGAGCGCUGGCGGCAUGCUUUACACAUGCAAGUCGAGCGGUAACAGGCCUUCGGGUGCUGACGAGUGGCGAACGGGUGAGUAAUGCAUCGGAACGUACCCAGAGGUGGGGGAUAACGCAGCGAAAGCUGUGCUAAUACCGCAUGUGAUCUGAGGAUGAAAGCGGGGGACCGAGCAGCAAUGUUUGGCCUCGCGCCUUUGGAGCGGCCGAUGUCGGAUUAGCUAGUUGGUGGGGUAAAGGCCUACCAAGGCGACGAUCCGUAGCUGGUCUGAGAGGACGACCAGCCACACUGGGACUGAGACACGGCCCAGACUCCUACGGGAGGCAGCAGUGGGGAAUUUUGGACAAUGGGCGCAAGCCUGAUCCAGCAAUGCCGCGUGCGGGAAGAAGGCCUUCGGGUUGUAAACCGCUUUUGGCAGGAACGAAACGGUGUCCGCUAAUACCGGGCGCUAAUGACGGUACCUGCAGAAUAAGCACCGGCUAACUACGUG